GACCUUGUUGCGCAAUGGUAGCACAUCUGACUCCAGAUCAGAAGGUUGCGUGUUAAAAUCACGUCGGGGUCA
rnacentral:tRNA from 1 species